rnacentral:lncRNA from 1 species
UAAUUUUAGUCUCCUGAAGAAGGGACAAUCUAAUUAAAAAAAAAUUAUGUUUUUUGGGUCUCAUGAAGAAAGACAAUUCAUAUCAUUUUUUUUUCGCCUAAAGAUGAUAAUUUGUAUAUUUUUUUGUCUCCCGAAGAAACAAAUAUAUAUUUAUAUUAUCUUAGUCUCCCGAAGAAGGCACUCUUAGAUGAAUAUUUUUAUAUAAGUUAUAUGUAUUUGGUUAUAAAUUGUCUUUGCAAUAGUUUUUUUACUUGUGUGAUCUUUCAUCUUGUAAUGACAAUGCUAAGAAAAUAUGAGAAUGUUUUGAAUAAUAAUAUGAUUAAUUAUUAUAUUUUUUUUAUAAUUCCACAUCUUAUACACUUGAUAACUCUAUUGUUUUUUUUUCCUUGUCUCAAUUUACUAGUUUCAUAAUGUCACUAUCAACAAACUUUGAGUUCGUUGCUCUUGAAUAUAUCGGGUAAAACUUACUUGGAAUUGGGACCUUGAUGCGGAAAUUCAUUUGGGAUUGCUAUGAAUCUCGGAAAAACAAAUAAUAGGAAAUGAGCAUCCCUGAAGGAUCGCGCUAAGUAAUAUAUACUUCGUCAACCAUCUCCAUGAAGGAUUAAAACUGAAUAUCUAACAAUACAUGAUCCAUAUAUCCCCCCCCUUUUUUUUUUUUUUUUUUUUUUGGCAAAAUUUGACAACGUUAUGACCACCACAAGGAAAAAUUUAAAUUUCCCCUUUUUCCAAAAGCUCGUUAUGAGGAAUCGCUUCACUUUAGGUUACCGGUUUUAAAAACUGUAAGCGAGUAUAUUCUGCAUAUUUAGAAUUACUUCUCAAUUGAAAUUAUGUGGAGAAAAUAUUACUGAGGAAGAUAUGUUGGAGAAAACUUAUUCUACUUUUCACGCUAUACAUAUGCUCCUGCAGCAAGCAAUAUCGUGACGUAGUUUUAAAAAAAAUAUUCUAAUUGAUAUCAUUCUUUCUGGUUGCUGAACAAAUAAUGAUGUUUUGAUGAAUAUCAUUAAUCAACCAGACCAACUGGUUCGGUGCCAUUCCCUGAAGUGAAUGCAAAGACUGUGGUGUGGUUAUCCAUGUCGUGGGCGUGGUCGGGUCUUAGCCGUGACGUGUCUUGACGUAGUUAAUCUUAUAUCUAUGAUAUCCUGGUGAUCCAUAAUAGCUCAAAAAAAUUUUUAAGAAAACUGAAAAUAAGAGGAAGUAUGGAAAGGAAAAAGAUUUGAAAAAGAAGCCUUUCAAAAAUUAAUGCGAAAAUACUGUGAUAGAUGUUGCAUGAAAGUCAUUGGUCACGUACCUGUCGUAUGUCUAAACAUCCUUGUGAUCUUAUCAACAGCGUUGAAAGAAACAGAAAAGCUGCAGAAACGAAUUUUAUUGCACAUCAUAUAAUUCGCUGGAUAUUACACGUCUUGUAUACUUUGGAUUCCUUUGAGAUGUUGAUGAGAAAUUCAUCAUUGAUUGGCAUGAAAAUAUCAAUAUUGAAAAUCUUAUUGUAAUAACAAAUCAAUGUCUUUAUUUAGUAGGUUACUUUUAAUCUUUUGUUGUUAUCUUUCCUAUUGUCUUUAGUAUUUUUCAUAUAAAUAAAAAUUAUACGUUGAUUUGAAUGUUUUUCAUACAUCUUAUUUUUGUUAUUUUGAAGAAAUAGGAGUUUAUUAUUUGGCAUCAUGGUGGAAAUUUAUGUCUGGCAGACAGUGCAACAACGCACAACAUUCUCAGAGAUAAAUAUAUUUUUUCAAAAAGCUAAAAUUAACUGAAGCCAUGUUUAUUAUAAUCUCUGUAUUAAGCAAAUUUUAAAAUUAAGGCUCUGGAAGCGCACUAUUAAUGUUCAGUGGAGGAACACAAUUAAUAUAAUUGAUGCAUUAUUUUCUAGUAAUCACCAAGAAUCUACUAAUUUUUAAAUAAUCUACGUCGUAAUGGUUAUCAUAUUGAGGACCACAACUAAAAUUGUAAUAGAAUUUUAUAUAUCACAAUCGCUUAUCUUAAGCAAGAAGCAUAUAUUUAGAUAGAAAAGUUGUCAACAUUCUCUUCGAAUGUAUAUUAUACAUAUAUAAGUCUAAUUAGGUCUACUGUUUGUGUUAAAUAAUUAUUUUCCCAAAAGAUUUUAUCCUUUAGCAUGAUCGAUUAGGUCAUCCGGAGUGCAAUAAUAUGAGAAAAUUAUUAAAUUCAUAUGGACAUCCAUAAAGAAUCAGAAGAUUCUUUUAUCAAAUGAAUUUCCAUGUGCUGCUUGUUCUCAAGUAAAAUGAUUAUUCGGCCAUCCCCAUAAAGUUGAAAUGGGGGGGGGGGGGAAUCCCCUUCAUUUCUUGAACGAAUUUCAAGGGAUAUAUGUGGUCCUAUUUUCCAUCAUGUUGCACCAUUUUGAUAUUUUUAUGGUAUUUAAUAGUGCCGCUCAACACGUUGGUCACAUGUUUUGUUUGUUAUUAGUCGAAAUAUGGCAGUUGCAAGACUUUUGCAAAAAUAAUCCUAUUAAUGGCACAAUUUUUGGAUUAUCAUUAAAGAAAAUUCGUCUUGA